UUGGAGUCAAUGGGAUGCUAACAGCAGGUGGGGGUUCGCUAAGCAAUGGCGGCGCCCGGGGAAGCUUCAAUAAAAUAUGAAACCCUGCCCCCUGGUCCGAAUCGGUACGUAAAAUCACAGACGUCGUGGGGGACAUGUUGAAACUCAAACGUCGUUUGGAAAACUAAUCCCGACGUCUACUUGUUCGUCUAGUGUCUGGGACUUACCGUUGAUCAACAAAGAGAUGAUGAGUAAAAUGAUCGCCAUGUUGCUUUAGGUGUUUGAGCAGGAUUAGGUGAGCUGUGACUGAUAGCUGAUAUCACCUAUCAGAGAGUGGCAGUCCCCUUUCAAACGGUGAUUGGCUGCUGCUCUGAAUGCGUCAUGUCCGACUUCCCCCCCUGUGUGUUCGCAACGAUAGCGACAGGAGCUUGGGGUCCCAUGGGUGGAUGGAUCUGUCCGGUGGUGGUGCUUCCUAGACCUGUUUGAGUCGUGACUCACUCGGAUCUUUCACCCGGAUCUUGAACUCAUGAGUUCUAGUAUCAUUAACCCGGAUCAGUUGAGUCCUACUACAAUUCAAUUCAUUCGUAUAAAGGACUAACAUGGACCAGUAUUUAUUUCAUGCUGUCCUUCGGCAGUCCCUACUAAGUGGGAUGUCGAUGUCAUGGUUGACUGGAAGAGAGUCAUGUGGUUGGCCAACAACUUAGUUGUAGAUGAUUUGUCCAUGCUGAUGGCCGUGCAGCAGAGUUGAAUCAGACCUGUCAGAAAACAUUUCUAAGGUGCUAUGAAUCUCAUGACUAGAUACGCAUCCUAAAAGAACUAGAGGUUAUGGAAGCUCUUUUUUGGAUCCAGCUUCAUUUGUGAAGACUUCAGAUGACGGCAACUACAGAUGGACAUACAAAACUGCAAAAUGUAAUAUUGUAAUUACUGCCCCAAUGUGCAAGUUUGCAGAUUUUUAACCCACUUUAUAUUGUUACAAAUACAAUACCAAUAUAAAUCCACCUCAAUUGUGUUGCAUUGUGGGAUAUGAAGCUGCCUGAAGUGUACAUAUGAAGUAGACUCGCUCCCUUAGUCAACAUCAAGGGAAGCGAGGGUCUGUCCAUAUAAACUUCCCUCGUCCACUUGACGAAGUGGAACGCACUUCAAAAUGGCGACAGGGAUUCCCCCGAGGGGAAGUGUUUAGGGAAGUUCACGAGUGCGUGUCUAAAACUGGAGUGGAACGCAGCCCUGGAGGGCCACUCUCCUGCAGAGUUUAGUUCUAACCCUAAUCAAACACAUCUGUUUUUCAUUUCUAAGUGAUCCUAAAGAAACACAUCUGUAUUUCAUUUCUAAGUGAUCCUAAAGAAUUUAGUUUGAUUUUUCAGGUGUGUUUAAUUAUAGUUUGAACUAAACUAUGCAGGCCAGUGGCCCUCCAGGAACAGGGUUCCCCACCCCUGAUAUAAAUGAUCAGUGGUAUAGACAUAUAUAUUAAUUUUACAGCACUUUUAAGAAUGUCUUUAUUUUAAUGUGGUAAGGAUAUGAACUAUAACUCAAGUAUGUAUGUAGGUAAUAUUUAUUUUAUUAAAUAUUUGGGUUUUUAAAUUCUCUUGAUAAUUUGAUAACAGAGCAUAAACGUUAUAAAGAGGGUAAGGAAAGAGGAUGUCAUUUCACUUAAUACUUCGUCUCCUCCGCCCUUUCGUUUUUCCUCGCUUUGCAUCCUAGGAGGGUGGAGUUAAAGCGAGGAAAGGAAGCGAGGAACGGAAAUAGAGGCUGCGUCCGAAACCGCAUACUUUCAUACUAUAUAGUGGGCGAAAAGCACUACUUUUCGUAAUCUUUGCCUACUAUAUAGUAGUAUGGAAGUAGGCGGUUUGGGACGCAGCGAGAAAGAAGCACCCAAACGUUAGUUUCGCGACAGCCAUCCCUAAUUAUGGUAGUGACCUAAAUUCUGUUAGAUAAAUGAGUAUCUUCUAAGAAAUUAGAUGCUUCUUCGGACAGAAACUAAAUUUAGAUACUUAAAUCUUUCUCUUACAUUAUAUAAGCCUCGCAGUUUAAUACAUGAUCAACCGAUUUG